CCUACGGGAGGCUGCAGUGGGGAAUAUUGCACAAUGGGCGCAAGCCUGAUGCAGCCAUGCCGCGUGUGUGAAGAAGGCCUUCGGGCUGUAAAGCACUUUCAGCGGGGAGGAAGGCGGUGAGGUUAAUAACCUCAUCGAUUGACGUUACCCGCAGAAGAAGCACCGGCUAACUCCGUGCCAGCAGCCGCGGUAAUACGGAGGGUGCAAGCGUUAAUCGGAAUUACUGGGCGUAAAGCGCACGCAGGCGGUCUGUCAAGUCGGAUGUGAAAUCCCCGGGCUCAACCUGGGAACUGCAUUCGAAACUGGCAGGCUAGAGUCUUGUAGAGGGGGGUAGAAUUCCAGGUGUAGCGGUGAAAUGCGUAGAGAUCUGGAGGAAUACCGGUGGCGAAGGCGGCCCCCUGGACAAAGACUGACGCUCAGGUGCGAAAGCGUGGGGAGCAAACAGGAUUAGAUACCCCUGUAGUC
rnacentral:rRNA from 1 species